rnacentral:rRNA from 1 species
CCUGGUUGAUCCUGCCAGUAACAUAUGCUUGUCUCAAAGAUUAAGCCAUGCAGGUCUAAGUGCACACGGCCGGUACAGUGAAACUGCGAAUGGCUCAUUAAAUCAGUUAUGGUUCCUUUGAUCGCUCCAUCCGUUACUUGGAUAACUGUGGCAAUUCCAGAGCUAAUACAUGCCAACGAGCGCCGACCCGGUCCCCCCUGGGGGUCCGGGGACGCGCGCAUUUAUCAGAUCCAAAACCCAUGCGGGUGCGCGGGCGGCGGAGAGGGGGGCCUCGCGCCUACCCGCCGCCGUCCGCCCCCGGCCUCGCUUUGGUGACUCUAGAUAACCUCGGGCCGAUCGCGCGCCCUCCGCGGCGGCGACGGUUCAUUCGAAUGUCUGCCCUAUCAACUUUCGAUGGUAGGUCCGUCGCCUACCAUGGUGACCACGGGUGACGGGGAAUCAGGGUUCGAUUCCGGAGAGGGAGCCUGAGAAACGGCUACCACAUCCAAGGAAGGCAGCAGGCGCGCAAAUUACCCAUUUCCGACACGGAGAGGUAGUGACGAAAAAUAACAAUGCAGGUCUCUUUCGAGGCCCUGCAAUUGGAAUGAGUGCAUCCCAAACCCAUGGGCGAGGACCCAUUGGAGGGCAAGUCUGGUGCCAGCAGCCGCGGUAAUUCCAGCUCCAAUAGCGUAUGCUAACGUUGCUGCAGUUAAAAAGCUCGUAGUUGGAUCUCGGGGACCGGGCCGCGCGGUCCGCCGCGAGGCGAGCCACCGCCGGUCCCGGACCCCCAGGCCUCCCGGCGCCCCCCGGAUGCCCUUGACUGGGUGUCCUCGGCUUGGGGCCCGGAGCGUUUACUUUGAAAAAAUUAGAGUGUUCAAAGCAGGGCCGCCCAGCCGCCGCUGAAUACCGCAGCUAGGAAUAAUGGAAUAGGACCCCGGUUCUAUUUUCUGUGGGUUUCCGGAACCCGGGGCCAUGAUCGAGAGGGACGGCCGGGGGCAUUCGUAUUGCGCCGCUAGAGGUGAAAUUCUUGGACCGGCGCAAGACGGACGAAAGCGAAAGCAUUUGCCAAGAAUGUUUUCAUUAAUC